rnacentral:lncRNA from 1 species
GUCCUGCAAAAUAUGGGGAUAGAGCUCACAUCUAGAGAACACUUGGAGCUAGAGAAAUUACUUCCAAUUGAUGCUAAUGGAAAAAUAUAUAAGAAUAGGUUGCUGAAUUGUGUGAAAGGGAUAAAAGAGUUGCAAGUCAAUGUUCAUGACAUUGACAGUAUACUCGGAAACAUGGCAUUCAAACUCACAGCUGAGGAACUUAAUGAUCUAACCCCAAAUCUACCAGUGAAUGGUGAGAAACUUAAUAGCUUUGCACCCUCAAGAGAAUUUGGAUUUUUAAUAGCUUUGCACCCUGAAGAGAAUUUUGGCUGAUAUUUUUGAUAGUUCUUA